GACGUAGGGCGCGAGCGUUGUCCGGAUUUAUUGGGCGUAAAGAGCUCGUAGGCGGCUUGUCGCGUCGACCGUGAAAACUCGCAGCUCAACUGCGAGCCUGCGGUCGAUACGGGCAGGCUAGAGUUCGGUAGGGGAGACUGGAAUUCCUGGUGUAGCGGUGAAAUGCGCAGAUAUCGGGAGGAACACCGGUGGCGAAGGCGGUUCUCUGGGCCUUACCUGACGCUGAGGAGCGAAAGCGUGGGGAGCGAACAGG
rnacentral:rRNA from 1 species